CAUUUUUAAGGACAGCCAGAGCCGUGCAACGGCUAGGGAUUAAUGACUUUUGCAUUAAAUUCGUAUCCGACAGUGCAUCCGUGCUGAUGGCGCUCGGAAACAAAAAAACCAACAGCAAACUAAUACUGGAGUGUCAUGAAGCACUGGAGGUCAUAACCCGAACCAAUAGGGUUACCUUGCAGUGGAUAAAGGGACACAGUGGAUCUCUCGGCAAUGAUGCUGCAGACGAGCUUGCGAGAAGAGGCUCCGGAAUGAUGCCUGCUGGCCCGUAUCCGCUCCUUCCUUUGCCCUUCUCGCUGGUGCGAACCUGGAUUCGCCAGAGAUCCGCUGAACUCCAGCAACAACGAUGGUCGCAUG